CGCUCAGGGCCCGAAUGUAGCAGCAGACGUGGU
rnacentral:SRP_RNA from 14 species